rnacentral:lncRNA from 1 species
UUGGAAGUUAUGCAAAAAUUAAAUGUUAGCAGUCAUCUCUACAACAUUUUAAGUGAAUUUAUAUCUCAGACUGGUAUCUGCAUACAUACAACUAUUGCAAAUAUGGCUUUGUUUGAACACUUCUAGUAUAUAUAGUAGCUAAAUUGUGUCAGAUAUAUGGUUAAAGAUCAUCAGAUACUGUUGUGACAAGAAUUCUAAAUUGACCAUUUGAGGCAGAAAAUGUGUUCUUUAAUUGACAAAUAGGCAUACAGUAAGAUGUGGACUGGAGAUAGAGGCUGGAUUGGAUACUUUAUAUAAUCUUGAAUGUUGUAAUGAUUGACUGCUAAACAUAACAUUUAUGAUAUUCUGAUAUGCUUUCAAUAUGUUAUCAAAACAGUUUUUAACAGGUUCUAGGCAUUUUUUAUCAGAAAAUAUGCAAAUAGGGUAAGCUGGCAAUAAUUCAAGUCUUGUUUGCAAAUUCUUUAAAAAAUUGAAACAGGGGAGGGGUAUAAAAUGUAUAGUAAAGAAAAACUUAGAGUAUACACAGUGAUUUCUUUAAGACUUUAAUUCUGAUAAAUGAGUAUUAAUGUGAGAAAAACUGAUUUUAGAGAGUUUUCUAUUUGAAUAAAUGUCUGUAUAGGUUGCACUUUGUAAAUACAGCUGUUUCUCAAAACACGCCUCUUUUGGGGAGUAAUUGAAUAUUCAUAGAAAAUUCAUUUUGUUUACAUACUGGUUCCCAGUUAUGCUCUCUGUGUUCCAUAUCGCAGAGACAGAACUUGGGAAUGUUACCAGUAAAUAAACACGUGCAUAUUGUUUACAUUGAAAUUUGUGGUAACCUUUCAUUCGAGGUAGGGGUAGUUAAGAAAAUUAGUGUAAGUUUAAACUCUGAGAAGUUCAGGGCAUAUAAACGUUGAAAAUAUGCCGCACAGCCCUAUAUUUUGACCUUUGAAAAAAAUUGUGGUGCAUAUGAACUUUCAAUUCUAGGAUAAGAUUUUUUCAAAACUUCAUAGUAAAAGUGGUACAGUUUUAGCCAUAAAAGGAGUUCCUAUGGGAAAUUGCAUUGUCAAUAUUUACAGAAAUGCAACCUAAAGGUU